rnacentral:rRNA from 1 species
UGAGGAAUUUUCCACAAUGGGCGAAAGCCUGAUGGAGCGACGCCGUGUGAGUGAUGAAGUCUUUCGGGAUGUAAAACUCUGUCGGAGGGGACGAUAUUGACGGUACCCUCAAAGGAAGCCACGGCUAACUACGUGCCAGCAGCCGCGGUAAUACGUAGGUGGCGAGCGUUAUCCGGAAUUAUUGGGCGUAAAGCGCGCGUAGGUGGUUCUAUAAGUCAGAUGUUAAAUUCUCCGGCUCAACCGGGGUCCGCAUCUGAUACUGAAGAACUAGAGAGACUCAGAGGGAAGCGGAACUUGCGGUGUAGCGGUGAAAUGCGUAGAUAUCGCAAGGAACACCAGUGGCGAAGGCGGCUUCCUGGGAUUCUUCUGACACUGAGGCGCGAAAGCUAGGGGAGCAAACGGG